rnacentral:rRNA from 1 species
CGCGUAGGCGGUCUGUUUAGUGUGAAGUGAAAUCUCCAGGGCUCAACCCGGAAACUGCUUUGCAAACUGGCAGACUAGAGGAAGGCAGAGGUGAAUGGAAUUCCUGGUGUAGCGGUGACAUGCAUUGAUAUCAGGAGGAACACCCGUGGCGAAGGCGGUUCACUGGGCCUUAUCUGACGCUGAGGCGCGAAAGCGUGGGUAGCAAACAGGAUUAGAUACCCUGGUAGUCCACGCCCUAAACGAUGGACACUAGGCGUCGGGGGUAUCGACCCCUCCGGUGCCGCAGCUAACGCAAUAAGUGUCCCGCCUGGGGAGUACGACCGCAAGGUUGAA